rnacentral:rRNA from 1 species
UUCCAGACUCCUACGGGAGGCAGCAGUGGGGAAUAUUGCACAAUGGGGGAAACCCUGAUGCAGCGACGCCGCGUGAAGGACGAAGUAUUUCGGUACGUAAACUUCUAUCAGCAGGGAAGAAAAUGACGGUACCUGACCAAGAAGCCCCGGCUAACUACGUGCCAGCAGCCGCGGUAAUACGUAGGGGGCAAGCGUUAUCCGGAUUUACUGGGUGUAAAGGGAGCGUAGACGGCCGUGCAAGUCUGGAGUGAAAGGCGGGGGCCCAACCCCCGGACUGCUCUGGAAACUGUAUGGCUGGAGUGCAGGAGAGGUAAGCGGAAUUCCUAGUGUAGCGGUGAAAUGCGUAGAUAUUAGGAGGAACACCAGUGGCGAAGACGGCUUACUGGACUGUAACUGACGUUGAGGCUCGAAAGCGUGGGGAGCAAACAGGAUUAGAUACCCUUGUACC